GGUUAAGCGACUAAGCGUACACGGUGGAUGCCCUGGCAGUCAGAGGCGAUGAAGGACGUGCUAAUCUGCGAAAAGCGUCGGUAAGGUGAUAUGAACCGUUAUAACCGGCGAUGUCCGAAUGGGGAAACCCAGUGCAAUUCGUUGCACUAUCGUUAACUGAAUACAUAGGUUAACGAGGCGAACCGGGGGAACUGAAACAUCUAAGUACCCCGAGGAAAAGAAAUCAACCGAGAUUCCCCCAGUAGCGGCGAGCGAACGGGGAGCAGCCCAGAGUCUGAAUCAGCUUGUGUGUUAGUGGAACGGUCUGGAAAGUCCGACGGUACAGGGUGAUAGUCCCGUACACCAAAAUGCACAGGCUGUGAACUCGAAGAGUAGGGCGGGACACGUGGUAUCCUGUCUGAAUAUGGGGGGACCAUCCUCCAAGGCUAAAUACUCCUGACUGACCGAUAGUGAACCAGUACCGUGAGGGAAAGGCGAAAAGAACCCCGGCGAGGGGAGUGAAAAAGAACCUGAAACCGUGUACGUACAAGCAGUGGGAGCACCUUCGGGUGUGACUGCGUACCUUUUGUAUAAUGGGUCAGCGACUUAUAUUCUGUAGCAAGGUUAACCGUAUAGGGGAGCCGCAGGGAAACCGAGUCUUAACUGGGCGUUAAGUUGCAGGGUAUAGACCCGAAACCCGGUGAUCUAGCCAUGGGCAGGUUGAAGGUUGGGUAACACUAACUGGAGGACCGAACCGACUAAUGUUGAAAAAUUAGCGGAUGACUUGUGGCUGGGGGUGAAAGGCCAAUCAAACCGGGAGAUAGCUGGUUCUCCCCGAAAGCUAUUUAGGUAGCGCCUCGUGAACUCAUCUUCGGGGGUAGAGCACUGUUUCGGCUAGGGGGUCAUCCCGACUUACCAACCCGAUGCAAACUACGAAUACCGAAGAAUGUUAUCACGGGAGACACACGGCGGGUGCUAACGUCCGUCGUGAAGAGGGAAACAACCCAGACCGCCAGCUAAGGUCCCAAAGUCAUGGUUAAGUGGGAAACGAUGUGGGAAGGCACAGACAGCCAGGAUGUUGGCUUAGAAGCAGCCAUCAUUUAAAGAAAGCGUAAUAGCUCACUGGUCGAGUCGGCCUGCGCGGAAGAUGUAACGGGGCUAAACCAUGCACCGAAGCUGCGGCAGCGACACUAUGUGUUGUUGGGUAGGGGAGCGUUCUGUAAGCCUGCGAAGGUGACCUGUGAGGGUUGCUGGAGGUAUCAGAAGUGCGAAUGCUGACAUAAGUAACGAUAAAGCGGGUGAAAAGCCCGCUCGCCGGAAGACCAAGGGUUCCUGUCCAACGUUAAUCGGGGCAGGGUGAGUCGACCCCUAAGGCGAGGCCGAAAGGCGUAGUCGAUGGGAAACAGGUUAAUAUUCCUGUACUUGGUGUUACUGCGAAGGGGGGACGGAGAAGGCUAUGUUAGCCGGGCGACGGUUGUCCCGGUUUAAGCAUGUAGGCUGGUUGUCCAGGCAAAUCCGGAUAAUCAAGGCUGAGGUGUGAUGACGAGGCACUACGGUGCUGAAGUAACAAAUGCCCUGCUUCCAGGAAAAGCCUCUAAGCAUCAGGUAACAUCAAAUCGUACCCCAAACCGACACAGGUGGUCAGGUAGAGAAUACCAAGGCGCUUGAGAGAACUCGGGUGAAGGAACUAGGCAAAAUGGUGCCGUAACUUCGGGAGAAGGCACGCUGGUGUGUAGGUGAAGUCCCUGCGGAUGGAGCUGAGACCAGUCGAAGAUACCAGCUGGCUGCAACUGUUUAUUAAAAACACAGCACUGUGCAAACACGAAAGUGGACGUAUACGGUGUGACGCCUGCCCGGUGCCGGAAGGUUAAUUGAUGGGGUUAUCCGUAAGGAGAAGCUCUUGAUCGAAGCCCCGGUAAACGGCGGCCGUAACUAUAACGGUCCUAAGGUAGCGAAAUUCCUUGUCGGGUAAGUUCCGACCUGCACGAAUGGCGUAAUGAUGGCCAGGCUGUCUCCACCCGAGACUCAGUGAAAUUGAACUCGCUGUGAAGAUGCAGUGUACCCGCGGCAAGACGGAAAGACCCCGUGAACCUUUACUAUAGCUUGACACUGAACAUUGAGCCUUGAUGUGUAGGAUAGGUGGGAGGCUUUGAAGCGUGGACGCCAGUCUGCGUGGAGCCAACCUUGAAAUACCACCCUUUAAUGUUUGAUGUUCUAACGUUGGCCCCUUACCGGGGUUGCGGACAGUGUCUGGUGGGUAGUUUGACUGGGGCGGUCUCCUCCCAAAGCGUAACGGAGGAGCACGAAGGUUAGCUAAUCCUGGUCGGACAUCAGGAGGUUAGUGCAAUGGCAUAAGCUAGCUUGACUGCGAGCGUGACGGCGCGAGCAGGUGCGAAAGCAGGUCAUAGUGAUCCGGUGGUUCUGAAUGGAAGGGCCAUCGCUCAACGGAUAAAAGGUACUCCGGGGAUAACAGGCUGAUACCGCCCAAGAGUUCAUAUCGACGGCGGUGUUUGGCACCUCGAUGUCGGCUCAUCACAUCCUGGGGCUGAAGUAGGUCCCAAGGGUAUGGCUGUUCGCCAUUUAAAGUGGUACGCGAGCUGGGUUUAGAACGUCGUGAGACAGUUCGGUCCCUAUCUGCCGUGGGCGCUGGAGAAUUGAGGGGGGCUGCUCCUAGUACGAGAGGACCGGAGUGGACGCAUCACUGGUGUUCGGGUUGUCAUGCCAAUGGCACUGCCCGGUAGCUAAAUGCGGAAGAGAUAAGUGCUGAAAGCAUCUAAGCACGAAACUUGCCCCGAGAUGAGUUCUCCCUGAGACUAUAAGUCUCCUGAAGGAACGUUGAAGACGACGACGUUGAUAGGCCGGGUGUGUAAGCGCAGCGAUGCGUUGAGCUAACCGGUACUAAUGAACCGUGAGGCUUAACCUU
rnacentral:rRNA from 1 species